GAACUCAGAAUUGCAUUAAACUUUGAAAGCAAGAAUACAUUGCGUCUGUCACCCACUGCGUCUAACCUACUCUAAUCUUAGAAAACUAGAAAUGAAAAACCUGUAAGAGUCUGAAGGUCGGUAUUUACAUGGCAGAAGGACCCCUUUAUAUAGGGUUGAAGAAAGAAGAAAAAAAAAAUUGGGAACCUUGCUCGCGACGCUUAAUGCUUCAUAAUCGGACGGCCAACCUUCUUUCUGCUUCCUUGAUUUCCUCUGGCCGUUUGAUCCUCCGCAGCGGGCAGCUCCGGUCUGCUUCUUCUCCGGCAAGGAUCGCGACUUCGUCUUCUCUCUUUCUCGCACUCGCACAAGCCAAACCCUAGCUCGAAGGUGUUUNUCUUCCAAUUAAAUGCGCAAGCCAGGAACCCCUAAGGCAGCUUCAGCCUCUCAAAACUGCACCGUUUCACUUAAG
rnacentral:lncRNA from 1 species